rnacentral:pre_miRNA from 1 species
GUCGGCGAACAUGGAUCUAGUGCACGGUUUGUUCAUGAUUAAGUUCGUGACUAGAUUUCAUGCUCGUCUAUU